ACCUGCAGGCAGAUGAGCUGGGGAGCUCAGCUUGGUCUUGAGGGUCAACUGGUCUGAGUCACCCUCCACCCCCUGGCCCAAGAGCCCCGUCACAGGUCCCAUUCCCCAGAAGUCUCCCUCCUUCAUCAUGAGAGCCUAGGUCCUGCCCACACACUGCCCAGGAUGCCUGGGGCACCGUCCUGGCUCCAGAGUUGCAGGCCUGGACUCUGCUUCUCAAAUCUGUUGUGUCUUGUGGGCUGUGACCUUGGGCAAGUCAUUGUCUUCUCUGGCCUCUUUAGCUUCAUCUCUAAGAUGAGGUCCCUGAUCACAUCAGUGGUUUUCAAAGUUUUAGGCACAGAACGCUUUUGUUGAAUUUUCUCUUGCUGAGAUUUCCAGGAUGUAAAACAGAUGAAGAUGCAGCUGCCCUGUGGUUCCAGGAAGCCAAAUGAAAAACUCUUGUACAAGGCGACGGCUACAGUCCCUCUUCGCUCUCACUGUCCAGGUUUCUGUGACAUUCACACAGCCUCAGCUUAACGGGUCUUGCUCUGUCGCACAGGCUGGAGUGCAAUGGCAUGAUCUCGGCUCACUGCAACCUGCGAUUCCCGGGUGGCAAGUAAUUCUCCUGCCUCAGCCACCCAAGCAGCCUGUAGUCCACAGGCGUGCGCCACCAUGCCCAGGGCUGGCACAUGGGAGGCACUCAGCAGAUAAUGUAUCUGAGUUCAUGAGGCCCCUGGAGGUUUGCUUGACUCCAAAGACCCCAGGACCACCAGGGUGUGAGACCAUGGCCAGGAGAAGGGAACUGUCAUGUAAGCUAUGAAGCAUAUGGAAUAUUCUUGUGAGCUCCAUCCCCCACCAACCCUGGGCGACCUCUCGGUCUGUCUUUGCCAGGCUGUGAGGUGGAGCAGAAAGGGCCUGACCUAGCGUUCCAGUCUCAACUGUGCCACUGCUGGCUGGCUGUGGGCUGGGCAGCUGACUUCCUCUUGCUGGAAUGAGUCUGGCCAUCCCUAAACAGGGGGACUUUGGUCUGAUUCAGUCAUUCAGUCAACAAAUAUUUCCCAAAAGCCUAGUAAGUGCCUGGUGUGUAUACUGGAGAUACAGCAGUGAAUGACACAAAGUCACUCUCCUGGUGGAUAGCAAAAAUAAGCAAACAUAGCAAAAUAGAGGCCUAGGCUGGGGAAAACAGUGGGGGUGUGCCUUAGAGGGGAUGGGGGAACAGCAUGUGCUAAGGCCCUGAGGUGGGGCAAAUGGGCAUGUGGCAUGCAGGACCCUCCUCCGUAGCUGCCUCAUGAACCUGGACAAAGUUCAGAGUCUAAAGAGGAAGAGACUUAUCUCUGCUGUUACUCACUCAUGACACUCAUUCAGCACGUGAAAACCUUGCCCACAUUGUUUCCCCAUCUGGCAGGUCUCUCCUGGACUGUGUGACCAGCUCUGUGUAGAGCCACCCCAGGAGCCCUCCUGCUGUGCCAGCCCCAGUUCCCCUCACUUCCCUGCGUGCGCCAGCUAAGACGGCCACUCACUAGUCCUGGGAUCUGUCCUGGCCUUUCCAACCUACCAGGCUUUGAAUCCCAAGUUCCUCCCUUCCUAUGUCUGACCUUCCCCAGCCUUCAAGGCCUGGCUCAGAGGCCACCAUUUCCAGGGCCUUCCCUGAUCAGAGACUGGCUACACCCUUUCACUCAUCUGUACUUCUCUGGGCUUGAGUUCACGCUUUGCCUCCUAGGAUGCGGCCCUUGCGUUGAGCUUGUCUGUGCCCUCCUGUGUUGCUUAUACGUUCCCAAGAGGCAGAGACCUAUCGCUGCUCCUGGUGUCUUUCUACUCCAUGUGCAGCAGGGCCCAUGGAAGGCACAAUGGCAUGAGCAAAGCAGGCCACCUGCUAGCUAAGUUGCCUGGCCUCUCUGUGCCUGCUUCUUCCUCUGUGAAAUGGACUACCAGAUGCCAGCCUGCAGGGUGAUGUGAACCCUAAGGACAAGAACGUCUAUAAAGCCCUUUGCAGGUGCUAAUAAUAUGAACCUGCCCCCAGCUGGGGCCUGGUAUGCUAAGCCCAGGCUGGACUGAGGCCUCAUUCUCUUCCUUCCUCUUAACCCAGAUGCCUCCAAAAGAUACCCAGGCCGUUCACUCAAGGCGCUCACAUGUUCCCCUGCUAUCACUGCCAAGGAUUCAGUGGCACUGACCCCUGCCUGUCCCUGCCCCAAAUUCCACUCCCAGCACCUCUCCCACCUCUACAUACAGCAGCCGUAGGGAUUCCCAUUCAGUUUCCCACUGCUCUUGGAAUAAGGUUCUCACCCCUUACCAGGGCCCUGCCUAACCUGGCCCGCCAGCCUCAUCUUGGCUGCCCUCACCUGUGGUCUAGUUAACCUGUGAACUCAUCAAGGCUUCAUUCUACCCCAAGGCGUCUGCACGUGAGGAUCCCUCUGUCUGAAACUCUCUCCCGGCUGCUGUUCUCAAGGUUGUGUCCCUUCUAGUCAUUCAGGUCCCAGCUCAAAAUCUCUUUCUUAGAGGUUUUUCUGACUAAGCCUUUGAGAAACGAGGGAACUCUCCUUCACAGCAUCCUAUUCGUUUCCUUCACAGUGCUUGGCAAAAGUAACAAUAGCAUCAAGCCACUCUCUCUCUAGACGGCAAGCUUCCUGAAGGCAGGUGCUAUGGUAUCCUCUCCAAAAUUUAUGUUGAAACUUAAUCUCCAUUGUGGUGGUAUGAAGAAAUGGGUGCAGAAGAUAUCCACAACCAAAAAUAUAAAUAAAUAAGAAGUGUGGACUUUUGUGAAGUCAGGAGGGCUCUGCCCUCAUCAGUGAACUAGUGCCUUAUAAAAGGGCUGGAGGAAACUAGCAUAGGCCAUUUUUUUUGCCCUUCUGUUCUUCUGUCAUGUAAAAGCAGUGUUCAUGCCCUUUCUGUUCCUUUCACCAUGUGAGGACACGUAGGUGGCACCAUCUACAAGGAACAGGCCUUUACCAGACACAGAACCUGCCAGCGCCUUGAUCUUGGACCUCAGAGUCUCCAAAACUGUGAAGAAUUAAAUUUCUAGAGCUGGGCACAGUGGCACACACCUGUAAUCCCAACUACUCACGAGGCCAAGGCAAGAGGAGCCAAGGAGUUUCAGACCAGUUCAAGCAAAAUAGUGGGACCUUCAUCUCCAAAAAAGAAAAAAAGAAAUUAAAUUUCUAUUGUUUCUGAAUUA